GGCCUGGCUGGGCGGUCUUGCCGCAAGGUAAGCACUGCUCCGGUCGGGUCUUUCCUUCUGGGGAGCCAGCGUGCUCUUAACUGAGUGCGUUGGGGAUCCAGGACUUUUACUUUGAAAAAAUUAGAGUGUUUAAAGCAGGCAAACGCUUGAAUACGUUAGCAUGGAAUAAUAGAAUAGGAC
rnacentral:rRNA from 1 species